CGGGGCUUAAAGUCUUGUAAUUGGAAUGAUGGGAAUUUAAACCUCUUCCAGAGUAUCAAUUGGAGGGCAAGUCUGGUGCCAGCAGCCGCGGUAAUUCCAGCUCCAAUAGCGUAUAUUAAAAUUGUUGCAGUUAAAAAGCUCGUAGUUGAAUUUCUGCUGCAUUGCUUGUGUCCCUCUGGGGUCUGUGCAUGUGGCUUUUUUCGGACAGAGUUUCUUUGUCUGAAUGUUUACUUUGAGAAAAUUAGAGUGCUCAAAGCAGGCUUUCGCCUUGAAUAGUUUAGCAUGGAAUAAUAAAGUAGGACUUUGGUUCUAUUUUGUUGGUUUUAGGUACCAAAGUAAUGGUUAAUAGGAACAGUUGGGGGCAUUCGUAUUUAACUGUCAGAGGUGAAAUUCUUAGAUUUGUUAAAGACGAACUACUGCGAAAGCAUUUGCCAAGGAUGUUUUCAUUAAUCAAGAAC
rnacentral:rRNA from 1 species